rnacentral:rRNA from 1 species
UACAGAGGGUGCGAGCGUUAAUCGGAAUUACUGGGCGUAAAGCGCGCGUAGGCGGCUUUUCAAGUCGGAUGUGAAAUCCCCGGGCUUAACCUGGGAACUGCAUUCGAGACUGUCUAGCUAGAGUAUGGGAGAGGGAAGUGGAAUUUCAGGUGUAGCGGUGAAAUGCGUAGAUAUCAGGAGGAACACCGGUGGCGAAGGCGGUUCUCUGGGCAUUACCUGACGCUGAGGAGCGAAAGUGUGGGGAGCGAACAGG